rnacentral:rRNA from 1 species
AUGAACGCUAGCGAUAGGCUUAACCCAUGCAAGUCGCGGGGCAGCACAAGGUAGCUUGCUAUCUGGGUGGCGACCGGCGCACGGGUGCGUAACGCGUAUGCAACUUGCCCUAUACAGGAGGAUAACCCGUCGAAAGACGGACUAAUACUGCGUAUGCUCACAACUUGGCAUCAAGUGGUGAGGAAAGAAAUUCGGUAUAGGAUAGGCAUGCGUCCCAUUAGCUUGUUGGUGAGGUAACGGCUCACCAAGGCAACGAUGGGUAGGGGAACUGAGAGGUUUAUCCCCCACACUGGUACUGAGACACGGACCAGACUCCUACGGGAGGCAGCAGUGAGGAAUAUUGGUCAAUGGGCGCGAGCCUGAACCAGCCAAGUCGCGUGAAGGAUGACUGUCUUAUGGAUUGUAAACUUCUUUUAUACGGGAAUAACAAGAGUCACGUGUGACUCCCUGCAUGUACCGUAUGAAUAAGCAUCGGCUAACUCCGUG